AACAUUAUCAACUAUCUCAAAAUGCGUAAAAAAAAUGGAUUCGGUGUCGUCAUAAAUCUAGAGCUGACUCUAGAAAUCAUCUGGUUCCUUUGCAGGUUCAACUUUCGUGGAUUUUCUUCUUCAAACGGUCGAAGGUAAUGUUGCGCUUCAGAUGCAUGGACCUUCUCCGACCUUCGAAAUAUGGCACCUUGGUCGCCAUGGACAACCCUACCAUCGUAAUACACAAAAGUAAUAACUUGAUCCAUUGCAAAGGUUUUUUUCGUUACAGAAACGUUAUGAAAUGCAGGAGAUUGAAGUUUUGAAAAUAUUCAAGUGUAUUUUUCGUAGAAGAAAGUUAUGAGACUCAGGAGUUCCAAGUUUUGAACUUAUAGUGUUUUGAAUUCGCAAAAAAAUUGAGAAUCCAGUCAAUCUCGCUUAUUUUGUCAUUUUGUAUAUCCUGGAUUCGCAAAAAAAAUCGAGAAUUCAAUAUUAGUCAUUCCUUUCCCUCCAUGUCAGUACUGCCACCUGAAAAGCAUCUGAAUUCGCAGGUAAACUUGCGGCACCAAUCUUCAUCAUUGACCCUGCCAACCUGCCACCAUCAUUGACCCAUCAUUGCCAUCAACUUUUCAGAAUACAUGGAAAACGCAAGAAAACUUGCGAAUCCCACACGGUCAACCAUCAUAAAGCAAUGAUGUUUCCAA
rnacentral:lncRNA from 1 species